UAACUGCAUUUGUCUUUUGUUCUUUAUCCAGGGAACAUGUCCAACAAGUAUAAGACUGGAUCAGGUGGUUCAUAGAAAUGCUUUGAAGCCACCAGGCCUUUCUGCUGUAAUAGGAGCCCGGGCUGUGUUUUCUACUGUCCUCAACCACAUCCAUGAAGAACAAAUAACAAGUCAGACCCAAUGAAGUCCUUUGGACACUGAGGCUCCCACCCUGCUGUUAACCUAGGUACAACUUCCAGGAAGGGAGUGUACCAAAGAAGCCUGUAUUGGCAGCAUGGGCACAGCCUCUGUAUCAGGGUAAGAACAAUGAACAUACACGAAAGAGAAGAUGGUUGGUAGAAAAUCAGCUUUAAAGAAUUUUGAACAUAAAUGUAAAUCAUCAAAACUACCCAAGAAGAAAAAGACUAAAGCAAAUGUAUGAAAUAUGAUAUGUCAAGAGCUUUGCAUUGUUUUGAACAACUAACAAUAAAAAGAAAAAGAAAAAGACUAAAGCAAACUAAAACCCAUACCUAGGCCUGUUCCUGCCAUCUGUAGCAGAUGCUUUGGUGCCCCACUCACAGCCCUCAGCAGGUACCAUUUUCGUGUGUACUUACCCACCCUCCAACAGUCAGCAACUACUACUCUUUGCCUUGAGACUGUCUGUGGACACCAGAGUAGCCCUCAAGCAGUGCACUUGCUUCUCACAUGGGGCUCUAUCUUGUCACCUGGAGUUUCCCAACACCAUUAAGCUGCGCUUGACCAGGAUGCUAACUUGUCUGACAACACAUCCUUAAGUGGCUUCCUUCUAUUAUCUUCUUUGUCUCACUUUUCCACUGUUCCUAUGAUGUUUCCUGGAAUCUCCCAAAUAAACUAUUUGUACUGGAAUCCUUACAUCAGCUCUUAUUUUUUGUGUAACCCAAACCAU
rnacentral:lncRNA from 1 species